GAUGAAGAACGUAGCGAAAUGCGAUAAGUAAUGUGAAUUGCAGAAUUCAGUGAAUCAUCGAAUCUUUGAACGCACAUUGUGCCCGCCAGUAUUCUGGCGGGCAUGCCUGUUCGAGCGUCAUUUCAACCAUCAAGCCCCCGGCUUGUGUUGGGGACCUGCGGCUGCCGCAGGCCCUGAAAAGCAGUGGCGGGCUCGCUGUCACACCGAGCGUAGUAGCAUACAUCUCGCUCUGGGCGUGCUGCGGGUUCCGGCCGUUAAACCACCUUCAUAACCCAAGGUUGACCUCGGAUCAGGUAGGAAGACCCGCUGAACUUAAGCAUAUCAAUAAGCGGAGGA
rnacentral:misc_RNA from 1 species